ACAGCAGCCGCCGCGGUAAAACGAAGGGGGCUAGCGUUGCUCGGAAUCACUGGGCGUAAAGCGCACGUAGGCGGAUGUUUAAGUCAGAGGUGAAAGCCUGGAGCUCAACUCCAGAACUGCCUUUGAUACUGGGCAUCUUGAGUCCGGAAGAGGUAAGUGGAACUGCGAGUGUAGAGGUGAAAUUCGUAGAUAUUCGGAAGAACACCAGUGGCGAAGGCGGCUCACUGGACGCGUAUUGACGCUGAGGUGCGAAAGCGUGGGGAGCAAACAGGAUUAGAUACCCGCGUAGUCCCUGUCUCUUAUAC
rnacentral:rRNA from 1 species